AUACGUAGGGGGCGAGCGUUGUCCGGAAUGAUUGGGCGUAAAGGGUGCGCAGGCGGCCAUUUAAGUCAGCGGUUAAAUCGUGGGGCUCAACCCCAUUCUGCCGUUGAUACUGGGUGGCUUGAUUGCGGUCGAGGUUGGCGGAAUUCGUUGUGUAGCGGUGAAAUGCAUAGAUAUGACGAAGAACACCGAUUGCGUAGGCAGCUGACCAGAUCGCAAAUGACGCUCAUGCACGAAAGUGCGGGGAUCGAACAGGAUUAGAUACCCUGGUAGUCCGCACAGUAAACGAUGAAUACUUGUUUUCGGCGAUAUAAUGUCGGAGGCAAAGCGAAAGCGAUAAGUAUUCCACCUGGGGAGUACGCCGGCAACGGUGAAACUCAAAUGAAUUGACGGGG
rnacentral:rRNA from 1 species